GAGAAAAAUCCAACCCCAUUUCUAGCCUUCCCAAAAAUAAUUCCUUGGUGUUAACCCACUAUUUGGAGGUCCCUAAGUAGCGUGGAAGCAUUAUUGGAGCGAUCAAACCAUCCAUUUUUGUAAAUCGCAAACCCUAACUUUCUUGUGGAGUAGAGAACAAAGACCUUGGGGAGCCCGAGGCGUAGAUUGGGAUUUACUUUAGAUUGGUUAUCUUGGAGUGCGUACGAGGUACAGACGCACAGUUUGGUGAUCUACCCAUUUAGGACAUCCUCUUCUGCUGUUUGGAGUGCUCUUCUCAUUUCAGAGCACACAUUUUGGUAUACAUUUGUUCGCUAUGUAUAUAUGUAUUUGUUCAGGGGCACGGCGGGGCCCUGUCCCGCCAUAUGAUUCUGUCGGUCUGUUUAGAGGUCUGUGGACGUGUUUGUGGGUUAGGGUCUUUCUGUAUGGAUGUAUGUACAUGUCGUUUGGGCGAUCCCAUACGCCGAGGCGGCCGGUCCACAUAUGUUGUUUGGGCGAUCCUAUACGCCGAGGCGGCCGGUCCGCAUAUGUUUAUAUAUUGCUUGGUUAGCCCUGUGUGGCUUUUGUUGGUAUUUUCUGCGUGCAGGGUAUAUUGGAUAGUCCGUAAAACAAAGGAAACUCUGCCGAAAGUUUUCUGGAAAU